AGUUCCUGUGCUCAGUCUCGCCCUUUCUUUUCACUUCUGGGAUGAGCUCUCUGUGCUUGUUUGUUGCUGAAAUGCUCCAGCUUUAAAAUGUAGACGUUAAGGUGAAACCCUCUUUAGUUUUAAGCAUACGCUGCCUGCGGCUAGAGC